UACGAAGGGGGCUAGCGUUGUUCGGAAUUACUGGGCGUAAAGCGUGCGCAGGCGGUAAGUUAAGUCUGAUGUGAAAGCCCCGGGCUCAACCUGGGAACGGCAUUGGAAACUGGCUUGCUGGAGUGUGGCAGAGGGGGGUGGAAUUCCGCGUGUAGCAGUGAAAUGCGUAGAGAUGCGGAGGAACACCGAUGGCGAAGGCAGCCCCCUGGGCCAACACUGACGCUCAGGCACGAAAGCGUGGGGAGCAAACAGG
rnacentral:rRNA from 1 species